rnacentral:rRNA from 1 species
GACGAACGCUGGCGGCGUGCUUAACACAUGCAAGUCGAACGGUAAGGCCCUUCGGGGUACACGAGUGGCGAACGGGUGAGUAACACGUGGGUGAUCUGCCCUGCACUUCGGGAUAAGCCUGGGAAACUGGGUCUAAUACCGGAUCGGACCACUGCCUGCAUGGGUGGUGGUGGAAAGCUUUUGCGGUGUGGGAUGGGCCCGCGGCCUAUCAGCUUGUUGGUGGGGUGGUGGCCUACCAAGGCGACGACGGGUAGCCGGCCUGAGAGGGUGACCGGCCACACUGGGACUGAGAUACGGCCCAGACUCCUACGGGAGGCAGCAGUGGGGAAUACUGCACAAUGGGCGCAAGCCUGAUGCAGCGACGCCGCGUGAGGGAUGACGGCCUUCGGGUUGUAAACCUCUUUCAGCACCGACGAAGCGCAAGUGACGGUAGGUGCAGAAGAAGGACCGGCCAACUACGUGCCAGCAGCCGCAGUAA